rnacentral:rRNA from 1 species
AGUGAACGCUGGCGGCAGGCUUAACACAUGCAAGUCGAACGGCAGCACCGCAGCUGCCUGCUCUUCUCGGUGGCCGAACGCGGACGGGAGACGUAUACAUUGUACCCUGUAUUUCCGUGUGGGCUAACGAAGCGAAAUUUACUCCCAUAUCGCAAUCGCACUUCGGGUGAAGGCUGGGAAUCUUUUGCCGUUGCGCGUUUGAUUGAGCCGAUGUAGCAUUAGCUAGGUGGAGGGGUAAAGGCCCACCACGGCGUCGAUCCGUAGCUGGUCUGAGAGGAUGAUCAGCCACACUGGAACUGAGACACGGUCCAGACUCCUACGGGAGGCAGCAGUGGGGAAUAUUGGACAAUGGGCGCAAGCCUGAUCCAGCCAUACCGCGUGGGUGAAGAAGGCCUUCGGGCUGUAAAGCCCUUUUGUUGGGAAAGAAAAGCAGCAGGUUAAUACCCCGCUGUUCUGACGGUACCCAAAGAAUAAGCACCGGCUAACUUCGUG